GAUUUCUGGUGUGGUGCGCCUGGUCCGCCGGCGACAGCCGUGUGUGUACCGGUUGCGUGCCUACCAUCCUUUCCGGAGAGCCGCGCUGCCCUUCACUGGGUUGGCGUGCGCCAUCCGGAUCGUUUACUUUGAAAAAAUUAGAGUGUUUAAAGCAGGCUUACGCUUGAAUACAUUAGCAUGGAAUAAUAAGAUAGGACUUUGGUUCUAUUUUGUUGGUUUCUAGGACUGAAGUAAUGAUUGAUAGGGACAGUUGGGGGUGCUAGUAUUUAACGGCCAGAGGUGAAAUUCUUGGAUUCGUUAAAGACUAACUAAUGCGAAAGCAUU
rnacentral:rRNA from 1 species